GCUCAACCGGGGAGGGUCAUUGGAAACUGGGGAACUUGAGUGCAGAAGAGGAGAGUGGAAUUCCACGUGUAGCGGUGAAAUGCGUAGAGAUGUGGAGGAACACCAGUGGCGAAGGCGACUCUCUGGUCUGUAACUGACGCUGAGGCGCGAAAGCGUGGGGAGCGAACAGGAUUAGAUACCCUGGUAGUCCACGCCGUAAACGAUGAGUGCUAAGUGUUAGAGGGUUUCCGCCCUUUAGUGCUGCAGCAAACGCAUUAAGCACUCCGCCUGGGGAGUACGGUCGCAAGACUGAAACUCAAAGGAAUUGACGGGGGCCCGCACAAGCGGUGGAGCAUGUGGUUUAAUUCGAAGCAACGCGAAGAACCUUACCAGGUCUUGACAUCCUCUGACAACCCUAGAGAUAGGGCUUCCCCUUCGGGGGCAAAGUGACAGGUGGUGCAUGGUUGUCGUCAGCUCGUGUCGUGAGAUGUUGGGUUAAGUCCCGCAACGAGCGCAACCCUUGAUCUUAGUUGCCAGCAUUGAGUUGGGCACUCCAAGGUGACUGCCGGUGACAAACCGGAGGAAGGUGGGGAUGACGUCAAAUCAUCAUGCCCCUUAUGACCUGGGCUACACACGUGCUACAAUGGAUGGUACAAAG
rnacentral:rRNA from 1 species